GCAACAGUGGCGGAAUGGAUGACGCACAUGUCUAGGAAGCAGGACUUUCUAGGUUCGAAUCCUCGCUGCCUCGAUGCA